ACAAUGUGUAUUAUUUGCAUGUUUAAACGUAUGUGAAUAUUUGCAUGGUUUCUCACUGAGUAUAUUUUCUAUAUGCUCACCCCUUAUCUUUUCAGUUUUGCAGUUCCAGAGUCGAGGUGGCCAUGGAAGUGGAGAAUGACUAGGGAUAGAGAUUUUACAUUAAACAUUUUAGUUGAGCUUGUUAAGUCUUAGUUUAUCAUUUUAUUUUUAUUUUUUUAUUUUAUGAUACUACUUCAGUUUUGGCAAGUUGACUUUGAAAUUAGUUUAAAUUUUCUUUACAAAUCAAGAAAUUAUUAUUUUACUAUCUUUUGUUAUCUAAAUUUUUAAAUAGUAAAGUUUAUGGAAAUUGGGGUGUU
rnacentral:lncRNA from 1 species